rnacentral:rRNA from 1 species
UACGUAGGGGGCAAGCGUUGUCCGGAUUCAUUGGGCGUAAAGAGCUCGUAGGCGGCUUGGCAAGUCGGGUGUGAAAACUCCAGGCUCAACCUGGAGACGCCACCCGAUACUGCCAUGGCUUGAGUCCGGUAGGGGACCACGGAAUUCCUGGUGUAGCGGUGAAAUGCGCAGAUAUCAGGAGGAACACCAAUGGCGAAGGCAGCUCGCUGGGACGGUACUGACGCUGAGACGCGAAAGCGUGGGGAGCAAACAGG